GAUGAACGCUGGCGGCGUGCCUAAUACAUGCAAGUCGAGCGAACAGACGAGGAGCUUGCUCCUCUGACGUUAGCGGCGGACGGGUGAGUAACACGUGGAUAACCUACCUAUAAGACUGGGAUAACUUCGGGAAACCGGAGCUAAUACCGGAUAAUAUAUUGAACCGCAUGGUUCAAUAGUGAAAGACGGUUUUGCUGUCACUUAUAGAUGGAUCCGCGCCGCAUUAGCUAAUUGGUAAGGUAACGGCUUACCAAGGCAACGAUGCGUAGCCGACCUGAGAGGGUGAUCGGCCACACUGGAACUGAGACACGGUCCAGACUCCUACGGGAGGAAGCAGUAGGGAAUCUUCCGCAAUGGGCGAAAGCCUGACGGAGCAACGCCGCGUGAGUGAUGAAGGUCUUCGGAUCGUAAAACUCUGUUAUUAGGGAAGAACAAAUGUGUAAGUAACUAUGCACGUCUUGACGGUACCUAAUCAGAAAGCCACGGCUAACUACGUG
rnacentral:rRNA from 1 species